CCAAGGAGUCUAGCAUGUGCGCGAGUCAUUGGGUUUCACUAAACCUAAAGGCGAAAUGAAAGUGAAGGCAGCCUCGGGUUUGCCCAGGUAGGAUCCCGGUCGUCUCGGCCUGGCGCACUACCGGCCCGUCGCGUCCGCUCUGCGGUGCGGCGGAGCAAGAGCGUACACGCUGGGACCCGAAAGAUGGUGAACUAUGCCUGAGUAGGACGAAGCCAGAGGAAACUCUGGUGGAAGUCCGUAGCGGUUCUGACGUGCAAAUCGAUCGUCGAACUUGGGUAUAGGGGCGAAAGACUAAUCGAACCAUCUA
rnacentral:rRNA from 1 species